GUCUGGUCUAUGGGCGAUUGAAGUCCCGGCUGAGGACGGCGGGACCGGGGGCAAGAUGGCGGGGUGGGAACAGGAACGAGAGUCCAGAAGCCAGGGGUCCGAGGGUCAGGAAGAAGGGAGUCACGAAGUCAAGGGUCCGAGGGUCGAGGAGCAAGGAAUCACGAAGUCAAGGGUCCGAGGGUCGAGGAGCAAGGAGUCACGAAGUCAAGGGUCCGAGGGUCGAGGAGCAAGGAAUCACGAAGUCAAGGGUCCGAGGGUCGAGGAGCAAGAAAUCACGAAGUCAAGGGUCCGAGGGUUGAGGAGCAAGGAGUCACAAAGUCAAGGGUCCGAGGGUUGAGGAGCAAGGAGCCACGAAGUCAAGGGUCCGAGGGUCGAGGAGCAAGGAAGUCACGAAGUCAAGGGUCCGAGGGUCGAGGAGCAGGAAGUCACGAAGUCAAGGGUCCGAGGGUCGAGAAGCACGGAGUCACGUAGUCACAAGUGAGGAGCCACCCCAGAAAAGGCCCUGUACUCGUGUCACCAUCCUCCAGACCUCUCACGGAGGAGGUACACGAAGAAGGGCCUCAGAGGAUUUGGGGAACAGUGCUGUGCGGCAGCUGAGAGCGACAGGCUUUCAGCGCUAGAGACCGAUCCAUUCCCGUCCCUAAGGGACCUCUGCCCCUUCAGUUUUUGUUUUGGGUAAUCAGAUCAUCGACCGGUGCCGUUGUUCUGUUCCUGAAUCAGGCUUCGUGUUUG